GACGAACGCUGGCGGCGUGCCUAACACAUGCAAGUUGAGCGAUGAGGCUUGGUGCUUGCACCAUUCUCAAGAGCAGCGCACGGGUGAGUAACGCGUGGGGACUGUGCUCUUCUGUGGGGGACCAUCUUGGAAAACGAAUGCUAAUACCGCAUAACAACUUUAAACAUAGGGUUUAAGGUUGAAAGAUGCAAUUGCAUCACGCAAAGAUGAUUUCUCGUUGUAUUAGUUAGUUGGUGAGGUACAGGCUCACCAAGGCGAUGAUACAUAGACGCCCUGAGAGGGUGAUCGGCCGCCUUGGGAGUGAGACAGGGCCCAAACGCCUACGGGAGGCAGCAGGAGGGAAUCGUCGGCCAUCGACGGAAGUCAUACCGAGCUACGCCGCGGGAGGGAAGAGGGUUUUCGGGUCGGAAAACUCUGUUGGUAGGGAAGAACGUGGGUGAGAGUGGAAAGCUCAGCGAGUGACGGUAACUACCCAGAAAGGGACGGCUAACUACGUG
rnacentral:rRNA from 1 species